rnacentral:lncRNA from 1 species
CGAAAGACGAGUGAUCGGCGACGGAAAAUACUAAAAGAAAACCUUCGCCGCUACGCAUAUACUGCUCUCGCAUUGCGCUGAAUUCUUCUUGUCCAGCGGUAUCCAAGACUGCGGAAAACAAAAUUAUCAAUGAAAAGCCAAGCUGCGGCCGCAAACGGAGCUGAGGUAUCAGCUGCCGCUAUGGCUAGACUCUCAAAAGAGGGAGAAAAUAAUCUACAAGAGGUAUACGGCCAGCGCCUAGAUACGUUGGAGUGGAUGUUCAGAUUGUUUUAAUGAUGGCUGCCCACAAGAGUUUGGCUCUAUGCAAUAUUUACAUUAAUGUACGCAGAGAGUCUCAAGACCCCUUUGCUGCCUCUUCCGAAAUGUCCGAAAAUUUUUUUCAAGAAAAACAGAUACAGCGUGAAAGUAACAUUAAUUCAAUAUUAAUAAAACAAGAAUAAAUACAAUAGCGUAGAAGCAGAGAGCUAUACGCUUUUCAAUUGUGAAAACAUUUUUCGUUCUUUCCUCAAAAGUACACUCGUAAAUUGGGGGAGAUACGGUGAGACAAAGAGAAGGUAAAGAAAAAUAGAAACAAAACAGAUUGGAUGAGUUACUUACUGUCGAGUUUGGCUGGUGUGUCAUCGAUGACGCACUGUUUCGUAUACGAGUCUUCGAUGGUAGGAUCGUAGUCGGUGACGAAAUAACUCUGAAAUAAAGGCGCAGCGAUUUAAAUUCAGUUGAGAAAUAGACCGUAACGAAUAACAGAUUACAAAAUUCAUCAACUUUUCCUUUUGCGAGAUUCUUUUCGUCCGAUAGCGCGAUCAACGAUCAGAAAUUAAUAAAGCAGUCAAUCGAGAUAAAAAUGUCGAAUAAUACUCUAUAAAAUGUCACGAAGAUUUUUCAGAUUAACCCUUUGAAUCAUAGUGGCAAGUAUUCUUACCACCUAUUUUAUAUCCAGUUUUUGUUUAGAGAACUUUUCAACACAUUUUCUUGCGGUUUCUUGCUAUUUCUGAUGGUAUUCUAAUUAAUUUCCAAUACUUGAGAUUAAUUAUUGCAAUAUAACGUAAAUUAUUAUUGUUAGAAGAAAAUUGAUUGACUAAAAUUGUGAAAAUUGAUGGAAUAAUUCAUUUCCGAGAAAGUUACUCCUCCACACAUAUACAUGUUUUACACAACUUAUAAGUUUUUAAGAUCGCUGAUUACGAAUCUGAAAUCGGAUUUUAAAAAUUCAAGUGUAAUUUAUUUCGCAUUCUCUUUUUUCAUAUAAAUAUAUAUAUGUACUAUAUAUAAAUAAUGACUAACGCCUUCGCCGGAAUGUAACCUGUCGAUGGCAAGAAAAUUCUAGCAAAUCUGGAAUGUAGGAAAAUUCAAUUUUCAAUCAACAAGUACUUAUUAUAUUUCGAGAUUUAUAUUUUUCACCAGUAGUAAAAACAUUCUGCACGGUAAAUUUUCUUCUCCUCAUUUGUUUAUAAUUUUUUUCAACUGAUUAUAACCGUUUGUAGCCUCGAACAAAACAUAGUAAAUCAUUUGACCGUCUAUUUGAGCCGCAAAAUGGUUUUAUCUGGAUCGAGAUAACAACGCAGACUUCCGAAGCGAUGGGCUCUAGUAUAUUAUUAUAUGAUUCAAUAACUAUGUAAUACAUUAACCAU